UGGGGAAUUUUGCACAAUGGGGGAAACCCUGAUGCAGCGACGCCGCGUGAUUUAGAAGGCCUUCGGGUUGUAAAAAUCUUUUGUAUGGGAAGAAAAUGACAGUACCAUACGAAUAAGGACCGGCUAAUUACGUGCCAGCAGCCGCGGUAAUACGUAAGGUCCGAGCGUUGUCCGGAAUCAUUGGGCCUAAAGGGUACGUAGGCGGAUAAGCAAGUUAGAAGUGAAAUCCUAUAGCUCAACUAUAGUAAGCUUUUAAAACUGCUCAUCUUGAGGUAUGGAAGGGAAAGUGGAAUUCCUAGUGUAGCGGUGAAAUGCGCAGAUAUUAGGAGGAAUACCGGUGGCGAAGGCGACUUUCUGGCCAUAUACUGACGCUGAGGUACGAAAGCGUGGGUAGCAAACAGG
rnacentral:rRNA from 1 species